rnacentral:rRNA from 1 species
GACGAACGCUGGCGGCGUGCUUAACACAUGCAAGUCGAACGGAAAGGCCCUGCUUUUGUGGGGUGCUCGAGUGGCGAACGGGUGAGUAACACGUGAGUAACCUGCCCUUGACUUUGGGAUAACUUCAGGAAACUGGGGCGAAUACCGGAUAGGAGCUCCUGCUGCAUGGUGGGGGUUGGAAAGUUUCGGCGGUUGGGGAUGGACUCGCGGCUUAUCAGCUUGUUGGUGGGGUAGUGGCUUACCAAGGCUUUGACGGGUAGCCGGCCUGAGAGGGUGACCGGCCACAUUGGUACUGAGAUACGGCCCAGAAUCCUACGGGAGGCAGCAGUGGGGAAUAUGGCACAAUGGGCGGAAGCCUGAUGCAGCAACGCCGCGUUCGGGAUGACGGCUUUCGGGUUGUAAACCGCUUUCGCCUGUGCCGAAGCGUGCGUGGCGGUAAUGGGUAAAGAAGCACCGGCUAACUACGUG